GCGUAUGUAGUACAGUGGUCAGUACCUCACAUAGUGGGUGGAUAUCCCCGGUUCGAAUCCGGGCAUGCGCA
rnacentral:tRNA from 1 species